AAGAAUAAUUGCCUGCAAUAUUUCUUUUCUUUUUUGUCAACACCUGCAAUCAGGAGUUAUUAAAAGUCACUCCAGAUUGGAGCCACGAGAGAAUUCGAGGCAUUGCUGGCUUCUUCACGCGGUGACACGUGUCUCUAUACAUUUUGCAAAAACGCCCACCAGUUUUUUUGGUAAUCAACCCGCAGUCCUUGACAUUUUGUAAAGAGCCCCCACACCGAAACGGCCAAACCCUAAUCCCCUCCGGCUGCUCCUACGCGCCGAUGCGGCUCGCCACGCCGCCCACUUCGCACAUCUUGGCUCGCCGUCGUGCUCCUCCCCCUCCACCAUGGACCCCUGGGGCGCGGCUCCCGUGGGCAAUGGCUCGCCGGGCGAGCGCAACUCCGGCCGUGGGCGGGGCUCCGGCGGGCGCGUGGCCGAGGCUGUGGUGGUGCUCGCGUCCUCCCUCCCCAGAUCUCGUGUGGCAGCUCCGAUUUCGGCAUCCCCCGAGAUCCAUUAAGCGAGGCGGAUUGUGGUGCGACGGACCCUGAGCCCUCUACCUCUGCGAGCUCGUCAGUUUAUCGGUGUGCCUUCCUCGUCAGAUCCCACUGGAUCUAGAAGCAGGGAGAUGGGCGCGUGCUGCUCCUUCAGCUGGUCGUUCCACGACCACGCGUUGCUACUACUUCCCUCGGCGCACUCGAUCUGUAUUCCUGUUCGAUGAUAAUAGUCGUGGUCCUAGCGGUCUUACAGUCAAGAAGCAAAGGAACACUGUUAGAAGAUAAUCUGGACACCCAGUAGGCCUGCAGAGGUGAGUUCCAUCCUUGCCUCUUUUUUAUGGCCUCAUGGCAGUCAUAUUUCUUGGUAGUAUCUCAUAAGAAGUUUUUAUGGACUAACCAAGGAGAUCUCGGCUGCACCAUUGCAAGGGAAUCUUAUUAAUUAUUUAGGUGUGUUGUCAGUCCUCCCUUUAACUGAUUUAACAACAACCUCUUAAUUGAUAACCAAUGAAGUGCUUACCCUGUGCACCGUUCUUCUUUUAACAAACCAAUUUUAUUAACAGCAACAUGCUGUAAGUAGGGAGAAACACUUCUAUUGUAGAGAGGAUAGUGCCAACUACAAGGGGCAUAUUGAUACAUUUGAGUCUGGUUUGUACAUGAGACAGCUAGAUGCAGAGAAUUUGAGCUGGAGGCUAUCCUAGCUUGUUUUGCUAUCAGAACUAUCAGUUUGUAACUUUGUGUCCUACCACACAUUAAAUUAUGUAUCUUGACAAUAGUUACUUGUAUACUAUACCAUAAAAUCUUAAAUGAGUAUAAUCUAAUAAAUGGAUUUUUUAAAUGAGCCCAUUGCAGGUAUCUUUUGGUUUCUUGAAAAUUGAUAUCUAUUGAAUUAAACAACACCCACGGUCACCAUUUUAAAUCAAUUUUGGAUUUUUUUUUUCCAAUAAUCUGAGAGCGACCUUGAUUAUGGGCCUUGAGAUUCAACCAUCCUACAUGUGUAGACUGCAGAAUUUGUGUAGUACUGUAAGUAUUACCUUUGCUACUGGCAUUCUGGAUUUUCCCUUUGGACAUGUGGGUUACUCUUGGAAGGAAGCACAGGAUGUUAUAGUUGAAAAUUGUUUUGGGAAAAUGAGGACAAACAGAAUGUAUUAUGGACCAGUGAAUGUUAUGUUGUGCAUUAAAAAAUAUCAUUUAACAUUUCCUUGGUAAAUGGCUACUGCCUCAAUGGUUCUUUGUAGAUUAUUGUGAGCUAUAUUUCUGUUUUUUCUUUUCUUUUUUUAUGGCUUGCAUCUAUUUUCUAUGACGUUGCUCUGAUGUGCUGGGUGUGCCAAAUUGUAGAUCAUUUGGUGCUGAUAUGACCAUAAAAAAACUGUUGCUGAUAGGGCUUUGACUACAUUGUUCUGAUGAUGAUACUCGCGAUUUGAUUUUUCAUGACCACAAUGGCCAUUGCUAUAUGAGGCUACCGGAUUAUCCAUGUAGAUGUACCAUUAAUCCAUUAAAUUCAUAAUGGAGGAUAGGUUGUCUUUGGUCUAUGGAAUUAAACUAUUGUCAGCGAGUGAAUUCUUUUGUUCUUUUGGUCUUCUCUCACUCCCUGAAAGUAGUUUUGUGAUCUCAUAAGUUUUACUUACUCAUCUGUGGCCUUUGUAGUUUUUUACUUGUCAACUCAAGAUUAUAAAUCAUUUAUGCCUUUAUAGGGAAUUAGCCAUUAUAAUUUUUGUUGUUGAUGAAUAAAGCAAUUCUCUGAUGAACCCACUAAAAUUAAAGUUAUUGAAGAGGAGUCACGGUAGGGCGCCCAAAGGGCGCUUUGGAAGCACCACAACAUUCUAAGCAUCGGUGGCUUCCUGGCGUGUUGAUACUUGUUGCUGCCUAUUUUGCAAAAAGGUCCUUCGACUUCUCUGAAUCAACCCGUAGUCCCCAAUUCCGCUCCCAGCCCCCAGUCACAAACCCUAACUCGACUCUCAAACUCUUCAGCCCUUCUCUCAUGUCCGCCCCCCGCCGCUGCCGCCGCCUCCUCCUCAGAAUAGACGUGGGAUGGGGGGAAAUCGGAGAGGAGCACCCACGGAUACUGCAUGCAGAGGGAUGGUACCGCCGCCUCUACUGUUGCCGCGGCCGUCCCACCGCCUCGCGGCCGUCCUUGCUCCUAGCUCAGCGGCACGUCCUUGUUUUUAAACCUUUCCAUUGUAUUUCUGAAUUUCUAAUCGCUCUUUUCUUUGGUGCAAAGUAAAGGAAAACUAGCAGCUUUAAGCUUCAGCUGACACUUAAGCCAAACUAAAAUAUAAAUAGAGUCGUAUAAUAAUGGAAUGAUGCUCAGAUAUGGGAACUUGUGAGGUUCUUUUCUUUCUAGCAUUUUUCUUACCACAAUAGUGAUAACUCUCUUUACAAGCCUUCUCCAUAUAUUUGUGGAGCUACUUGCUUUUCACAUACCCAUUUUAAUAGCUUUAGGUAUUCCUUUGGGUAAUUUGUAGACAGAUUAACUGUGCCUAGCCUGAACUUACCUAUUCAUUAUAUUUAUGUUUAUUUAUGUAUUAUUGUUCUUCUAUUGUUGUGCUGUUUUGUAGAGGUUGGAGUUGUUGCUACUGUAUGUGCAUCUACAACAUUGCAAGUGUUUGUCAUCCCUAUUGAUAACUGAACCUGCACUUUCCUGAAAUUUUAUAGAAUUUCUGCUGGCCCUUAGGUAUUCCAGUUUUCAUUUUCCAUGUUUUGUCAAUACCUUUGAAUUCAAACCUUUCAUCAUGAAAGUUGGGAUUAUUUCAAAGCAUGUCCAUCUAAGUCAUUAGUAAUAAAUGGGUAUGCAGUUUGCUCCAAGAAAAUCUACCAUGUAGGCAUUGAUGUUAUAUGCAGGUUGAUAGCAGAAGAUCACUAUCAAGGUUAGGUAGGCAAACGGUAUCACUUGUCUGAUGUGUGUGUGCUCUACUGCUAUUUAAAUUCUUACAGUAAGUAAAGAUCUUGUCUAUUACAGGUCUCUCCAUUAAUGACUUCGAUGCUCUAUCAGAUUUUAACCUCAGAUAUUCUGAUAAAGCAUAUAGGCGAGAGUAGCAUCUUAUACUUUUAUGUGUUGUUAGAUGUUCUGAUUUGAAAAUCGCAUUGAGAUGUCUAAAUUUACUUCUCCAGUUGCUUGCGGAUCUUGCUCAUAUGAGAUGUACGAGUUUAUCUCUGGCUCUUGUUAGAUGGUAGAAAGCAGCAGGCAACUUGUUUUUUUUUGCUUGCAUUACAGUAAGCAGGUUGCUUUAGAUCACCACACUACAAAUGCUCCUUAUAGCAAUGUAUAGCUCAGGAUAGAAAUAAAAUGUGUUGCGCUAUUAUUUAUGGUCAAAAUGUCGAACAUUGCUUUCUAAGAGCAAGGUUCAUACAAGGCACACCUUCCCCAUCAAUCCCAGGUGCUCUGUUGCCUUCACCAUCUCAUCAUGAUCCUGCUCUUGACCAUGGGUGCCCUUGAGGAGGGUGCAGGCAGCGGUCGGAGGUGUAUACGUGGGACUGCUCAAGUGUGGCGCUGGGGAUCAGGAGGUACUGGUGCCAGGUCAGAGCAUGUAAAAUGCACUUAGUAGCUAGAAUAUGUAAUAUUAGGAGUAGAUUAUACAUAGAUAUAUGAACCAAAAAAUUAGUUCCAAUGUAUAGACCUCUUACAAAAUUAUUUUUGAAUUGUGAAUUCACCCACUGCAACUAGAUUUGCACAAGAUUGGUUUGAUUUGCAUCACCACUUAUCUGUGUUUGUUUCUCUUAUUGAAUUAGGUUUGAUUUGCGCCAUUAUUAUUUUGUUCCUGUAGCAAUGUAUAUCUAGCAACACAUGGAAAUAAUCCCCCCUUGUCUUAAUUUGGAAUUAGCAAUGAACAACUCCCUAUUAAACUUUGUGUUGCUUCCAUUGCAAUGCAUGGCUAAUCACUUAUUUAUGUAAAUAUGACUCAGAAUAUUAUAUUGUUAAGCUCUAUUAAAAUCUAUUUGUCUGUUUAUUUUGAUCCACUAUUUUUUCAUAUUAUGUUGAAAAUUUUAAAGUUCCCGUAGCAAUUUUAUAUGUAUAUUCACGUGUGUAUCGCAUGGUAUCCUUAUAUGUGUAUGCAUGUGGUUGUUUCCUUCUAGAACUCACCCAUCACCCAAAAAAUCUGUGAAGAAACUUUUCUUAGAUGGAGAUACCAACAAAGAUGUUCGUGACAACUCGGAAACCAAGACACUGAAAAAUGUGAAUAGGAAAAGUGCACAACUGAAGAUAGUUGAUCGGAGAAGGAUGAUCAAGGUGCUUUUGCCUCUACAAGCUGGACAACGGAUGCUCUUUUGGUUUCUCGGUACUUUAUAUAUGUACUCUCUAAUGAUCGCCAGUGUAUUUGGAUCGGCAUUCUAAGCUACCGACUAUAGUGUUUGGUAGUCAUGAAUACCGAUCGUGGACUGUAAUGACAUGGUAUGUGAUGUAUGGCUAGAUAGAACCAUAAUGGCUACAGAAGCCGUGCAUAUAGUGAACGAUUGUGUAGUAUGUGCUUGAACAGGACCAUAACGGCUGUGAAGCCCUCAUGUUCGUUGUUUGUGGAUGCUCCAUUUCUUCUAAGUUAAAACAUUAGCGAUAAAUGUGUUUCGUAACAUAGUGUA